AAGCCUGAAGCUCAAAGGAAUGGACGGGGCCCGCACAAGCGUUGGAGUAUGUGGUUAAUUCGACGCACGCGAAGACCUUAUCAGGGCUGGACAUGAGCGAAAGGCUGGUAAACAAGUCCCCUCUUCGAGGCGCGAAACCAGGUGGUGCAUGGCUGUCGUCAGCUCGUCCGUGAGGUGUUGGGUUAAUCCCGGCAACGAGCGCAACCCCUGACGCCGUGUUGACCAGCAGUAAACGCUGGUACUCGCGGGGGACUGUCCGCGGAGAACGCGGCAGGAAGGCGGGAUGACGUCAAGUCAUCAUGCCCCUUAUGUCCUGGGACUACACACGUACUACAAUGGGAUGGACAGAGGGAAGCGAAGGAGCGAUCCGGAGCGGAUCCCAGAAAGCAUCCCCCAGUUCGGAUUGCAGGCUGCAACCCGCCUGCAUGAAGUCGGAAUCGCUAGUAAUCGCAGGUCAGCAUACUGCGGUGAAUACGUUCCCGGGCCUUGUACACACCGCCCGUCACACCACGGAACCCGUUCACGCCCGAAGCCGGAGUCAAAUCUGUCGAAGGCAGGGGCGGUGACUGGGGUG
rnacentral:rRNA from 1 species